CCUACGGGAGGCAGCAGUAGGGAAUCUUCCGCAAUGGACGAAAGUCUGACGGAGCAACGCCGCGUGAACGAUGAAGGCCUUCGGGUCGUAAAGUUCUGUUGUUAGGGAAGAACAAGUGCUAGUUAAAUAAGCUGGCACCUUGACGGUACCUAACCAGAAAGCCACGGCUAACUACGUGCCAGCAGCCGCGGUAAUACGUAGGUGGCAAGCGUUGUCCGGAAUUAUUGGGCGUAAAGCGCGCGCAGGCGGUUUCUUAAGUCUGAUGUGAAAGCCCCCGGCUCAACCGGGGAGGGUCAUUGGAAACUGGGAAACUUGAGUGCAGAAGAGGAAAGUGGAAUUCCAAGUGUAGCGGUGAAAUGCGUAGAGAUUUGGAGGAACACCAGUGGCGAAGGCGACUUUCUGGUCUGUAACUGACGCUGAGGCGCGAAAGCGUGGGGAGCAAACAGGAUUAGAUACCCUGGUAGUCCACGCUGUAAACGAUGAGUGCUAAGUGUUAGAGGGUUUCCGCCCUUUAGUGCUGAAGUUAACGCAUUAAGCACUCCGCCUGGGGAUACGGCCGCAAGACUGAAACUCAAAGGAAUUGACGG
rnacentral:rRNA from 1 species